rnacentral:rRNA from 1 species
GAUGAACGCUGGCGGCGUGCCUAAUACAUGCAAGUCGAGCGAACGGACGAGAAGCUUGCCUCUCUGAUGUUAGCGGCGGACGGGCGAGUAACACGUGGAUAACCUACCUAUAAGACUGGGAUAACUUCGGGAAACCGGAGCUAAUACCGGAUGAUAUUUUGAACCGCAUGGUUCAAAAGUGAAAGACGGUCUUGCUGUCACUUAUAGAUGGAUCCGCGCUGCAUUAGCUAGUUGGUAAGGUAACGGCUUACCAAGGCAACGAUGCAUAGCCGACCUGAGAGGGUGAUCGGCCACACUGGAACUGAGACACGGUCCAGACUCCUACGGGAGGCAGCAGUAGGGAAUCUUCCGCAAUGGGCGAAAGCCUGACGGAGCAACGCCGCGUGAGUGAUGAAGGUCUUCGGAUCGUAAAACUCUGUUAUUAGGGAAGAACAUAUGUGUAAGUAACUGUGCACAUCUUGACGGUACCUAAUCAGAAAGCCACGGCUAACUACGUG